UGCCACCGACGUUGACUAGUCAACAUGGUUCCACGCGUCCACGCGCGACUUCUGUCAAACGAUGCGGUUGCUCGGCGUCUCGUCCGUUGAAAAGAAAGUUUUCAUGGGAAAUCACUGGAAGUUUUAAAGUCUGUCACGACUGUACUGGUUCUUCGGCGAAGGUUUACCAGCCACUUUUCUAAUUACACAGCCAGCCCUCAAUGACCACAGAUGUCUUCAAGUUUAUGGGGUCAUGUCGAAAGGAGGACUCGAUGGAAUUCAUCGGCUCUCAUUGGAAUGUGGUAAAGGCCGGAAUGAAGGUCGAAUAAGUCUCUCAACCGGUUGUCGCAAUCUCCAGCUGGUCAUGUUUCCAGUCUAAUGGAGUUAUCGAUUUGUUAUGCAAACGAGCAGGGGUUUUGUAUAGUCGGCUCGUAUUGGAAGCUCCCUUGCGAAUCAGUCUGAAAACACUUGCUCGAACAGAACGAACUGUCAAGCGAAGCACGUAUGUCCCCUAAUUACACGCACGGGACGCGUGCAUACGCCAUUUCGAACAAGUCCGAGGCUCUGGUACAUCGGUUCGUUACGCACCGGAUCGAGCUACAAUUUACGUAGUCGUUUACCAUGUCCCAGCACGCAUGUACGCGUUAAUCGUGACUUAUUCCAAUUCUUCAAUUGUCCUCGUGUCAACGCUGCAAAUCUGUUUCGUUUCGAUCUAUUCUUUUACCGCCAUUCCAUCGAAAAAGAGAAA
rnacentral:lncRNA from 1 species